rnacentral:rRNA from 1 species
GCAGCGANNUGCGAUACCUAGUGUGAAUUGCAGAAUUCCGCGAAUCAUCGAGUUUUUGAACGCAUAUUGCGCCCGAGGCUCGCGCCGAGGGCACGUCUGUCUGAGCGUCA